rnacentral:rRNA from 1 species
UACGAAGGGGGCUAGCGUUGUUCGGAAUCACUGGGCGUAAAGCGCACGUAGGCGGAUUGUUAAGUCAGGGGUGAAAUCCUGGAGCUCAACUCCAGAACUGCCUUCGAUACUGGAAAGCUCGAGUCCGGGAGAGGUGAGUGGAACUGCGAGUGUAGAGGUGAAAUUCGUAGAUAUUCGCAAGAACACCAGUGGCGAGGGCGGCUCACUGGCCCGGUACUGACGCUGAGGUGCGAAAGCGUGGGGAGCAAACAGG